rfam:Danio rerio chromosome 4, GRCz11 reference primary assembly.
GCAUUGGUGGUUCAGUGGUAGACUUCUUGCCUACCACGCGGUAGACCUGGGUCCGAUUCCCGGCCAAUGCA